rnacentral:rRNA from 1 species
ACGGAAGGCAGCAGUGGGGAAUAUUGGGCAAUGGGGGAAACCCUGACCCAGCAACGCCGCGUGAAGGAAGAAGGCCUUCGGGUUGUAAACUUCUUUUACCAGGGACGAUAAUGACGGUACCUGGAGAAAAAGCAACGGCUAACUACGUGCCAGCAGCCGCGGUAAUACGUAGGUUGCAAGCGUUGUCCGGAUUUACUGGGUGUAAAGGGCGUGUAGGCGGAGCUGCAAGUCAGAUGUGAAAUCCCGGGGCUCAACCCCGGAACUGCAUUUGAAACUGUAGCCCUUGAGUAUCGGAGAGGCAAGCGGAAUUCCUAGUGUAGCGGUGAGAUGCGUAGAUAUUAGGAGGAACACCAGUGGCGAAGGCGGCUUGCUGGACGACAACUGACGCUGAGGCGCGAAAGCGUGGGGAGCAAACAGGAUUAGAUACCCUGGUA